AACGAACGCUGGCGGCGUGCCUAAUACAUGCAAGUUGAGCGCUGAAGGUUGGUACUUGUACCAACUGGAUGAGCAGCGAACGGGUGAGUAACGCGUGGGGAAUCUGCCUUUGAGCGGGGGACAACAUUUGGAAACGAAUGCUAAUACCGCAUAAAAACUUUAAACACAAGUUUUAAGAUUGAAAGAUGCAAUUGCAUCACUCAAAGAUGAUCCCGCGUUGUAUUAGCUAGUUGGUGAGGUAAAGGCUCAACAAGGCGAAGAUACCUAGCCGACCUGAGAGGGGGAUCGGCCACAUUGGGACUGGGACACGGCCCAAACUCCUACGGGAGGCAGCAGGAGGGAAUCUUCGGCAAUGGACGGAAGUCUGACCGAGCAACGCCGCGUGAGUGAAGAAGGGUUUCGGAUCGUAAAACUCGGUUUGUAGAGAGGAACGUUGGUGGGAGUGGAAAGCUCAUCAAGUGACGGUAACUACCCAGAAAGGGACGGCUAACUACGUG
rnacentral:rRNA from 1 species